AGUCGGACUAGCCAAAAUCUGAUCGCGUACUGAGUCGAGAUCAUUAGGAAGCCCAGCAAGAGUAAGAACUAGAAACAACUUUUGUUGUUGCUCUUGCUACUUUGCAACACUAGCAGAAACUGGCAUCAACGUCUCAAAUUCCUCCAUAGCUGCCUGUACCUGUCCCAAGUAAGUAGACAUAUCUAAUUCCUGUUUCUUUAAAUUUGUCAUCCGCGAUAUCACAUCAUAGAAACGAGAUAUGUCAUUAGUGUAUAANNNN
rnacentral:lncRNA from 1 species